rnacentral:rRNA from 1 species
AUUGAACGCUGGCGGCAGGCCUAACACAUGCAAGUCGAACGAGUGGCGGACGGGUGAGUAAUGUCUGGGAAACUGCCUGAUGGAGGGGGAUAACUACUGGAAAAGGUAGCUAAUACCGCAUACCAUCAGAUGUGCCCAGAUGGGAUUAGCUAGUUGGUUGGGUAACGGCUCACCAAGGCGACGAUCCCUAGCUGGUCUGAGAGGAUGACCAGCCACACUGGAGCUGAGACACGUUCCAGACUCCUACGGGAGGCAGCAGUGGUGAAUAUUGCGCAAUGUGCGCAAGCCUGAUGCAGCCAUGCCGCGUGUAUGAAGAAGGCCUUCGGGUUGUAAAGCACUUUCAGCGAGGAGGCGUUACUCGCAGAAGAAGCACCGGCUAACUCCGUGCCAGCAGCCGCGGUAAUUC